rnacentral:lncRNA from 1 species
UUGAAUAAGAUGAAGGGUAAUUUUGUCAUUUCACAUACACUUAACGGAGAAAACUAAUGGACAUCCACUCCAGGGACUAUCCAAGUAACAAACUGUCAAACCACAGGGAGCACCGGUGUAAUUUCCAAAAGUUGGGGACAAUAGGUGUUACUUUGCAAAACCACAGAGACUAUCCGUGCAUUUUACUCUUUCUAUAAAAAAAAGAGCGUGAAACAUGGGUAAGAGCGCGUGAUUGGGUGAAGACACGGGGUUUAGAGAGAAAGCGUAUUAAUGAACCAUAUUUGAUC